UCGCCUGGGGGAAAGAAACAGAAACGAAAAGAAUUAACUUAAGAUUUCUAGAUGAAAAUUUCUCAAAUUUAUUCUCAAACGAACGAAUUGUACAAAUAUAGAGUAUAAAAUUGUCAGAAGAAAUGGGGGGAAAAUCCCGCGAGGCAGCUGACGUCGCUUACUUUCCACUUUUUUUUUAAAUAACCCGACAACCAAUUGGAUACGUAUGUUUUUUAACUUAUAAAAAUAUUCAUUAAUUUUUGUCAUGUAAAUGACAGUUUCUGUCGCGAGGAGAUACAAUGAGUUUUCUACGAUAAUAAAUAUAGGACACUAUUUUUCUGAAAAUUAUUACCGGUCUCCAGUAGCUCACGCCAGCACGCGUCUCGGUCUACUUAUUUACGUGUUAGUUAAUUUUUACACUCGCUGAAUUUAGAUAACUAUAUUGUCAAAAGUAUCGGGCAUAUUUAGAGGCAGAUAUCUUUCAACAGUGAUUGACUUGUCACAAGUUGCUUGCUGGACACAGAUGAUCGUUGUAUAAUAAAAAUAACAUUUCGGAACAGACCGAUAGGCAUCGAUUAUUUUUAUUGCAAUGCUACAUCUUUUCUAUGAUCUUCUUUCAGAGAGUGAUUUCUCGAUUUAAGCCGUACUCUCUUACCUGUUCCUUCAUCACGACUAUACCGAUCCAUUGUGAUUCCUCUACGCAACGUCUUACAUCACAAGACACUCGACACCUUGCGUUAAAUAAGCGUAAUGCAACGAGGGGGAAAAGGAGAGACACAGAGGCAGAGCGUAUCGCGUAUCGUCCACAUACACACCACACAAUAGGAGAAGGUCACUCAAGUCGAAUAUCUGUUAUCUGGCUGUUGGAACAUUUUUUUACGGCAACCAGUAAGUAAUUCAAAUGAAUUAGAAGACCGAACAGGAUACGCAUGUAUCGCGAGAUAGUUGAAAAUUUUGGCUAUUAUGCGUCAACGCAAAUUUUAACGGGUAUGUAGACACCGAUAAGGAUUCGAUUAAUUUUCCAUUCUUAAUUCAGUAAAAAUUCUGUGCCAGGCUGAUUUUAAUUGAAAUUGAUUUAAUUUAAAUCAAGAUUAAAACUGACUUGAUCGAUAUUAAUUCAACAGCAAGAUCAUCACGCAAAGAUAUUUCUCGCAUCUCUCCCGCAAAAAACAGCGACAUAUAGAAAGAAAAGAGGUAAGAAGAAAAAAAAAAAGAAAAAUAAAUAUUCCAAGAAAUUCAGCAAGUCGUUAGUUUCUUCUUUGUUACAUAAAUUCCAGUCGAGAUAAUUAGUAGGUUUGGUCAGACUAUGCGUGUAAUGAUAAUCCAGUCGUUAAAUCAUUUGUUGCUCUGAUUGUUGAACGGUGAAAGGAGGAACGCAAGAUGACACGGAUAUUCAGCCGAUACAAAUGAUCGCGAACGUUAGAGGCAGUUCCCUCUUGAAAAAGAAUCGCAAGGACAUGCGUGGUAAAAGUAUACGUUUCUCUCGAUUUUCUAUUUCAAAACUGUCUGCCAGUUUUACGAAAUUGGAAUAAUUCUAGGUACGAUGAACGAGCGAAUUGACCUGACAUUCGUGUGAACUCGUCUGAUUGCAGCACACUGUUUGUUAUCGACGAAUUGGG